rnacentral:rRNA from 1 species
AGUGAACGCUGGCGGCGUGCUUAACACAUGCAAGUCGAACGAGAACGGAUUAUAGCUUGCUAUAAUUGUCAGCUAAGUGGCGCACGGGUGAGUAAUGUAUAGGUAAUAUACCUCUUACUAAGGGAUAACAAAUGGAAACGUUUGCUAAUACCUUAUACUCCUUAUUAACAUAUGUUAAUAAGGGAAAGAUUUAUUGGUAAGAGAUUAGCCUGUAUUGUAUCAGUUAGUUGGUGGGGUAAUGGCUUACCAAGACUCUGACACAUAACUGGUUUGAGAGGACGAUCAGUCAAGCUGAAACUGAGACACGGUCCAGACUCCGACGGUAGGCAUCAGUGGGCAAUCUUGCACAAUGGACGAAAGUCUGAUGCAGCAACGCCGCGUGUAGGAUGACACAUUUCGGUGCGUAAACUCCUUUUAUAUGAGAAGAUAAUGACGGUACUAUAUGAAUAAGCACCGGCUAACUCCGUGCCAGCCGCCGCAAUAA